AUGUGGAAUCAUCAUGUGCUUUCAACAUCUGAUCCAGCACUCACCUCCUGCUCUUUAGGUCUUAUUGCUUUGACCCCGUCGCACCUUCACUCCUUUUCCUCCCUGGUGUCUCCCCCUCUGCAUCUCCCCCUCCUCUCUUCCUUGCCCAGGAUCUUGUCUAUGGAGUGUGACAGAACCUCUGAGGCCUCAGGUUUGCCAUCCCCACAGAUCCCCGCUGUGUUUCACCUUCUGACACCUGACGGCGAGGCACCAGUACCUGCACAAAUCAACACUCCACAGGAGUAUUUCUCCUAGCUGCCUCAGGAGGCUGCUGGCAGACACGCUGUAUGCUGGAACUGUCAACACCACAAACUCUCUUAAAGGUAGAUGAAGCUGCUGUGGUGAUGCGAGGCAAAUGACACACACACACACACACACACAUACACAUACACACAGCCUGUGUACACAUUGCUGAACCCUGUGUACACUUCGUCUUUUGACAGUCAUUAAUGAGAUGAAUCCAUACGCUAAGAUAACAAGUCCCCAUGUGUGGAUCAUAAAACAGCCGCUGCAGUCAUCAUCCACUCAUCAGUUACUCUCAUAUGUAUAAUUCUUUAGACAGAAAAUGACUAUGUAUUGUUAACCACGUGUUGAACAUCAACGCGUGUUUGUGAUGAUGAAUGUGUAACAUACAAGGAAGUCCACAAGAAAGGUAAUGGAUUCUCGCCACAAUUCAAAGCACACUGAACUUCUGAAGUAUAAAAGUUAAAAUCCUUUAAUAUUGAUCAGACCAAUCACCUCCUAGACCCAGAUCAGAACAACUCUAGUUCUAUUUAGAACAUGGGUUAGUGGUGCACUUCGGCCUCUUGUGACUAAAAUGAAAGUUACAAUAACAAACAUGAUGAUCCAGAAAAACUAUAUUUUUCACUUUUGUUUUUACAGAUUAAGUAACAUAGAAAAGUGUAGGAUAUAGUGGCAUCUAGCAAUGUAGCUGCUGAUUGUGUAAGUCUGUAAAUGCGUACAUAAAUCUCUAAAUGUGUAGACAAAUCUGUAAAUGCAGACAAACAUAUUAUUGGCUGAGAAGUAUUUGCUCAAAGAACAGGAAAUACAGACAACUUGUCAGUUACGACUCAGACGGGACUCUCAGUUAGCCCUUAUACAUGUGACCUUUGCUCCACUUGUGCCAUGGCAUUUAUACAUUUGUCUACACAUUUACAAAUCUGAUUAUGCCCACACAGAUUCUGAACACACAUUUGUAGAUUCCCAUACACAUUCACACACCUCAGUACAUAUUUACAGAUUCUUUUCAGAUUACUUUUUUGCCCAUUAAAUUAGCAUAAAAUGGAACUUCAUCUUUGGCACUGGCAUAUGUCCCAACAAUGAUACAUAAUAUAACAUCACACAAUAAUUCUAUGUUACGGUAGAAAAGCUAAAGUGACUUUGUGGCAAGUGAUGGGUGAUGAUAUCAAUCAUCACAAUAAUGUAUUAUAUAGAGCAGUAAUACAUAGCAGUUAAAUGUAUUUAAAAAAUAAUUUUAAAAAUGGAUAUUACUUUUUUAUUUUAUACAUUUACAAAUCUGAUAACGCACACACAACUCUCCACUAACAUUUGUAAAUAGGUUUGCUACAAUAAUGGCCCCAUAGUAUUGUCGUUGAUUUCACCCCCUUAGUACCCCCGUACAGGACCCCCGCCACUCUGACUGACUGUGUCUACUGGUUGUUGUAGUUCUGUCAGACCACACAUUGCUGCUGUGCAGCAGUUUGUUGUUGAUUAUGUGGCUUUAUUGUUUUUGGCUGUUUGGAGCUCCAAUGUCCAACUGUAUUCAUUUGCUUUCUAUCCUUGGCUCCUUGUCCAGCUAAAGUCUUUUUAUCCUUUGUCUGACAGAGGUUUGAGCAAGUUAUUGGUAUCCAUGGUGCCAGUCAUCUUUCUUCUUCUUCUUUUUGUGUUUGUCCUUGUUUCUUGUGAGGUUAUCUGGUUGAAAAGCCUUGUUCUGAGAAACAGGAACUUACGUUUGCUGGCAACUGAUGGCCUGUUUAUGCCAUGACUAUUCUUUUUGUCCAUUGUACAUAAAAUGGUAGGUGGACUGUCUUUAUAUUGUGUUUUUCUAGUCUACUGUCCACUCAAAGCACUUUACUACACAUGCCAACAUCUACCAAAUCACACACACACAUUGAUGGCUGAGGCUGCCAUGAAAGGUGCCAUCUCAUCAGCAGCAGUUACAGGAUCAGUGAUCAGUUCAGGUUCUGUGUGUUAAAUUCAACAUGUGGAGUUGAGAACAUCAAUAUGUCAAUACAGCCACAGAUCAUUAAGACGUCUUGUGUCCAAAACCAGUAAUCUGACACAUACACGUGUGUGUGUGUGUGUGUGUGUGUGUGUGUGUGUGUGUGUGUGUGUGCGUGCGUGCGUGUGUGUGUGUGUGUGUGUGGGUGUGUGUGGUGUGUGACGUGUGUGGGUGUGUGUGUGUGUGUGUGUGUGUCCUCUCUGUGAACCCCUGCACUGUGUUUCACCCUCUCUACAGAUCUGUAGCUGUGUUGCAAGCCGACUGAUCCCAGAUCUGUGUCAUAAGGGAAAUCAGUCAGUAAACGCUCUGGUGAUCUGUCUGGUGAUGUUGUAGCACUUCCCUGUGGUCAUCCAGCACAGAGCACAAGAUGCUGAGCUCUUCUGCGCUGUGUGUGAUUUGACCACUAGAUGGAGCUGUUGCACACAGAACCCCCACAGAGCCUGUUGGCUGAAACCACAGACUUGAUAAGGUUAGAGCAAGGAGGCAGCAGGAUCUUCAGUGUUUGGUAUUCCACUGCUGUGUAUGUAAGUGCUUUGUAUUUUAGGUGUAUAAGAAAAAGCAGACAAUCAGCACUGACUGCAGAUGCAGUGAGAUUCAUCUCUCCAUGACCCAUAGGGAACUGCAUUGGGACGUCUGAUUCUGGUUCUGUGUUUUAAUGACUUCUGCCAGCAUCAGGGCUGAAAUGCAACAUACUCUAUGAUGUUGGAUUCAAAUGUCCACUUAUUGGACUAGUACUAAUAAGAUUCAAACCAACCUUAUGGCCAUUUGCUUCCACAAUUCCAGCUCCACACCCAAAAAACUGGUCACACAACAGUAUGUCAACUUAAACCAGUAUACCAGCACACCUCUAGUUUAUAUUUGGAGUUUGGCUAUUGUCUGAUGAUGAUUUAUCCUCUGGGAGCCAAUGUUUCAGGGCUUCUGGUGUAGCGGGAUAAUGGAUAUCUGGGGCAAAACUACCUCUGCAGUCCGAUUACCUGAGACACUAGAAUGACAACAGACACAUUUUCAGAUACCUGCAUAUAAAUGCAAAUACAAUAAAAACAGCUUAUAAAAAGCAAAAUUGUCAUCAGAUGAUUGCUGAUGGGUUCCAAGAUUACAUUUCAACCAGCGCGUUCAAUUCAGCAAUAAGAGUCGGCUCUUUCAGCUUCCGAAUGGCUCUUCAUUUAACACCGCUUUUAUAGUUCAGCCAAUUUAGAAAUGUUUUGAUUUUUGAUUAGUGUGUGUGCUCAUAUAUCACUUACAUUUCCCAAGGUACUUACAAUUAACCUUAGAAUACCAUAAUUUUAGACUGUGUUUGGUAUUAAAAACCUUGAAUAAUGUAAAUAUCAAAAAACAUUACACGUGUGUAUUGAGAGUCACUGUCAACAACCAACUACCAUUCUGAGAUGGGUCAUUUGUUAGGGGAAAGAAAGAAAGAAAGAAAGAAAGAAAGAAAGAAAGAAAGAAAGAAAGAAAUUCUCAGUUAAAGAAGCAGAUUACACAAAUUACACAUCACUAGAAACCAGAAUGCUUCCGAUGCUGAAAUCUCAGUCCCUUGCCUUCAGAUUCAGCGGUCAUAUACAGAUAUCUGCUUAUAGAGAUUAACAGCAGAUUAGAUUAAAAUGGAAUCAGUGCCGGGUCCAUUUGGUUUGGGCAUAACAAAACCUCCACAAUGAAAUGGAAAGAGCUGUAGAGAGAGAGACAGGUGUUCACCAGUCAGUGAUAAAAGUAAGCAAAGGCAGAGAUAGUCAUUAAUCACUGUGACUGCUGUGGACAGGACUGACUCCACCAGACACUGCAGCUCUACAAUGUAUGGCUACUGUAUGCACACACACACACACACACACACACAGAUAAAGAUACAGUACAGUUUAUCUCUGCGUCCUGAAUGACCUCAGAGUGAGGCCUGUUCCCAAGCUCUUACAUAACGCCUGAUGCCGAUCAAUAACUACCAGCGCAGAGGGAGAGGUGUCGGCUGAAGCAGAGCGGCCCGUUGGGAGGAUGAGACAGACCUUGAUCAGGCCCGCCCGAGGGAGCGGCAGCCAACGGGGGGAAAAGGAUUAGCAUGGCU
rnacentral:lncRNA from 1 species